rnacentral:rRNA from 1 species
AGCAGAAUGACCAGAGAA